rnacentral:rRNA from 1 species
GAUGAACGCUGGCGGCGUGCCUAAUACAUGCAAGUCGAGCGAACAGAUGAGGAGCUUGCUCCUCUGACGUUAGCGGCGGACGGGUGAGUAACACGUGGAUAACCUACCUAUAAGACUGGGAUAACUUCGGGAAACCGGAGCUAAUACCGGAUAAUAUAUUGAACAGCAUGGUUCAAUAGUGAAAUACGGUUUUGCUGUCACUUAUAGAUGGAUACGCCCCGCAUUAGCUAGUUGGUAAGGUAACGGCUUACCAAAGCAACGAUGCGUAGCCGACCUGAGAGGGUGAUCGGCCACACUGGAACUGAGACACAGUACCGACUCCUACGGGAGGCAGCAGUAGAGAAUCUUCCGCAAUGGGGGAAAGCCUGACGGAGCAAAGCCGCGUGAGUGAUGAAGGUCUUCGGAUCGUAAAACUCUGUUAUUAGGGAAGAACAAAUGUGUAAGUAACUAGGCACGUCUUGACGGUACCUAAACAGAAAGCCACGGCUAACUACGUG